GACGAACGCUGGCGGCGUGCUUAACACAUGCAAGUCGAACGGACAGGCCCUGCUUUUGUGGGGUGCUCGAGUGGCGCACGGGUGAGUAACACGUGAGUAACCUGCCCUUGUCUUUGGGAUAACUUCAGGAAACUGGGGCUAAUACCGCAUAGGAGCUCCUGCUGCAUGGUGGGGGUUGGAAAAUUUCGGCGGUUGGGGAUGGACUCGCGGCUUAUCAGCUUGUUGGUGGGGUAGUGGCUUACCAAGGCUUUGACGGGUAGCCGGCCUGAGAGGGUGACCGGCCACAUUGGGACUGCGAUACGGCCCAGACUCCUACGGGAGGCAGCAGUGGGGAGUAUGGCACAAUGGGCGGAAGCCUGAUGCAGCAGCGCCGCGUGCGGGAUGACGGGCUUUGGGUUGUAAACCGCUUUCGCCUGUGACGAAGCGUGAGUGACGGUAAUGGGUAAAGAAGCACCGGCUAACUACGUG
rnacentral:rRNA from 1 species